CCAAGUUCAGGGCUGGUGCUCUCGUUCAGAUAGAUUUAGCUGGUGGUGCAGAGAUCCGUGAGCUUGCUUUUACAGGACUUUAAUGAUAUAUAAAAGCAGCACGAGGUGCUCCUGACUGUGGAUUAAUUUGGAGAUGACUUUCUCUGUUGAAGAGGGGCAAGACUCUCACGAGUUCUUAAAAAUGCACUUGUUUGGUAUGAGAAUGAAAAGCAGUGGCUGAAGAACUAAUCUUCAAUGGGCAAGCCUUCUCUGAUGGACAUUUAGAUGGCUUUCAUUUUUCUUCCAUUGCAAGAAUACUUUGUACAUAUAUCCGCACCGUUCUCCCCCGCAGAGCCAACCAAAGUAAUCAGCGUCUUCUGUAUCCUUCCACAGAUAGCUCAUGCAUAAGCAAAAAGAAAAAAAAAGUUUCUUUCUCUUUCUCAUUUUCCCUUCAAAAACCACCAAUAAUUGUACCUGACAUACAUAGCCUGCCCCUUUUCCUCAUUAAAUAAUGGGAGAUUAUGUCAUUAGGAAGAAACAGAUUUCUUCAUUCCCUUUGCCUGGCAUUCCAUUAUGUGGAUGAGCUGUUAUUUAUUUAAGCAGUCCCCACCUGAAGGACAUCUUGGUUGGUUCCAAUCUUUGCUAUGACAACAGUGCCACAAUGAGUAGCCUUGUACAACUGUCAUUAUGUGCAUGUGUGGGGACACAUGUAGGAUACAGUCUUGGUAGUGGAAUUCCUGUCUCAGAGGGUUUUUUUAAAAAGAACUGCAAGUUGCCGUCUGUGGAAGCCUUGCCAGUUUGUACCCUUGUGUGAUCCGCUUCACCUCUACCGGCACCGGAGUCACUGAGUGUUAUGUUAUUUGCCAACUGGAUAAGUGAAAAAUGGUAUCUCAGGGCACAUUAUGGGACAUGUUAAAGUAUAAGUGCAGCCAAAUAUCUUUUCAAACACUGAUGAGGGGCCCUGGAGUUUUAGUGCCUUUCUUUAGAGGAAUCUUGGGUGCUGGUCUUACUGACUCGGAGCCUCUUCCUCAAUCUGCAUCGCCUUAGCUGACCCCAGUGCACUUUAGGGCAUCACGUGGAUUUGGGGUUUUCUCAUCCUGCUCUCCUUCCUUUGGGAGUGGCCUCCAAGGCAGCCGUCUUCCCAUUCCCCUUGCUUCCCUCCUAUCUCCAUCUCAGCCACGCCAUCCCACUCCUGUCCACAAGCCGGGUGCAUGAGCCAUUCCAGAGGGACUUUACCUUGCUGGAAUGAAGGUGGUAAGGGGCCUGGGUGUUGUGCUUCUCCCUCCUUGGGCUCUGGUGCUCUGGCUCCCAGACUGUGACUCACGAUCCUCUCGCGUCCCAUGUGCGUGACCUCUCCGUCCGAGAGCACAAGCAAUUCUCAAACAGCCACUUGAGCUGGACGCCCCCGGACAUGCCCUGCACUUUUCCAGCUUUACAUCCUGGCCUGUGUUGCCCCCUCCAUGUGUGAUGCCCUCCUUGAGUCCGGCAUGGGUGCACGGCUGCCCGCUCCAGCAGGUCAACCCUUGGGCCCAUGAACUUCCCCUACACACGCUCUUGUGGCACCAACUGUCUUCCUAGGUGGUGGCCACACCAGGAAACAUUUCCCAGCCUCUCACUGCUCUUGAAAAUUGUAUCAUCAAAUAGCAGCACAUGUUAAACAGUUAAGAAGAAAAUUAACACGCAAAAUUAACAGAAGAGAGGGAAGAAAGAGAAAAUGCAAUCUGCCCAAAGCUGUUCUUGACAA